rnacentral:rRNA from 1 species
GUCUACAGCCAUACCACCCUGAAUGCACCCAAUCUUGUCUGAUCUCAGAAGCUAAGCAGAGUCAGGCCUGCUGAGUACUUGGAUGAGGGGAAUCUACACAAGAGAAGUCCAUCUACAUGGACU